rnacentral:SRP_RNA from 1 species
GCCAAAUGUGGUAGUGCAGCACCUGUAGUCUCAGGUACUCGAGAGGCUGAAGCAGGAGGAUCACUUGAGCCCAGGAGUUUUGGGCUGUAGUGCUCUAUGCCAGUUGGGUGUCUGCACUAAAUUCGGCAUUAAUGGUGACUUCCUGGGAGCAGAGAACCACCAGGUUUCCUAAGGAGGGAUGGACAGUGCAGGUCAAUACUCCUGUUCUGAUAAGUAGUAGUGGGAAUCGUACCUGUAAAUAGCCAUGGCACUCCAGCCUGGGCAAUAUAGGGAGUCUCUU